UCCGUUUACGUAACAAAAUUUUAUUCACAGAAUAAAUUCCAGCAGAUUUAUUGAGCUUGCCAAUCUUCGGAGGGCCGAAUAAGUCAAUUGAAGAAGCUGCAAAAUUAUUUUACUUCCCAUUUAAAAGAGCCACAAAUUAUCGAAAGUGGGUUAAUUCUGGUGGAGUUUUAUAUGAAAAAUACCUUAAGUACUGGCAUAAAUUAAUAACUUGUGAGAUUAUUUCUAAGAAUGAAAAUACAGAAAAAGGUAAUGCGAAGUACCGAAGAUUAAUUAGGAAAAUAACAUUUCAUUGUCGUAUGCCUCUGAGAUACAAUGGAUUUGAGCAUUUUACCAUAAGAUUACUUCUAAUAAAAAUGAUUAUCUGUUUUAAAUUCAUGUCUCUCCAUUUUGAUGCCACAUAUCCAGAAUCAGCAAAAAAUUUAAGCAUUCAUGGGACGCUGUCGCUAUGUUGGUAAUAUCUUAUACAAAAUCUAAAAAAACUGUGUUUGCGUGAUGAUCUUUUAAUAAUAAGAGGCCAAGAUUCUGUAUUAGGAUUACUUUGCUUACCACGAAUAUUGGGAGUGAUCUUAAGAAAAAGAAAAAAUUGCGGCGACACGUUUGGAACUGCUCUCGAAGAUGUGACAAACUCAUUCAUUGUUCAA